rnacentral:lncRNA from 10 species
UUGAGACGGAGUCUCGCUCUGUUGCCCAAGCUGGAGUGCAGUGGCGCGAUCUCGGCUCACUACAAGCUGUGCCUCCCGGGUUCACACAAUUCUCCUGCCUCAGCCUCCCCAGCAGAUGGGACUACAGAUGCCCACCAUCACGCCCAGGAAACACAAGAGACCUAAGUGUUAAACAUCACCAUGGGAAUGCAAUCAGCAUGAUUCAGACUAUGAAAAACUACAUAACAACGCCAGUCUCAGAAGUAAUAAAGGAAAAAUAGCAACUUUACAGUGAAGAAAGCUGAAAGAUACCACCUCAAUGAAAUGAUCAAGCCCCUGCACUUGGAUCAGCUAGCACCACCCAGAUCGAUAAACUGGCUCAUCUGAUCUGUGGGCCCCCCACCCAGUGCAAGAGGAUAGCUUCAACUCUGUAUGAUUUUAUCUCUGACCCCACCAAUCGGCACUCUAGACUCACUGUCCCCCACCCACCAAAUUUUCCUUAAAAACCCUGAUCCCAAAUGCUUGGAGAGAUUGAUUUGAAUAAUAAUAAACUAAUCUCCUGUACAGCCG